rnacentral:rRNA from 1 species
CCAAUAGCGUAUAUUAAAGUUGUUGCAGUUAAAAAGCUCGUAGUUGAAUUUCGGGAUCAGUAUGUCGGUCGUGCCUUCGGUAUGUACUGGUGUCACUGAUUCCUCCCUUCUGAAGAACCAUCAUGCCAUUAAUUUGGUGUGGUGGGGAAUCAGGACUGUUACUUUGAAAAAAUUAGAGUGUUUAAAGCAGGCUCGCGCUUGAAUACAUUAGCAUGGAAUAAUGAAAUAGGACGUUAAUCCUAUUUUGUUGGUUUCUAGGAUCGACGUAAUGAUUAAUAGGGAUAGUUGGGGGCAUUAGUAUUCAAUUGUCAGAGGUGAAAUUCUUGGAUUUAUUGAAGACUAACUACUGCGAAAGCAUUUGCCAAGGAUGUUUUCAUUAAUCAAGAACGAAAGUUAGGGGAUCGAAGACGAUCAGAUACCGUCGUAGUCUUAACCAUAAACUAUGCCGACUAGGGAUCGGAUGAUGUUAAUUUUUUAAUGACUCAUUCGGCGCCUUACG